rnacentral:rRNA from 1 species
UGGGGAAUAUUGCACAAUGGGCGAAAGCCUGAUGCAGCAACGCCGCGUGAGUGAUGAAGGCCUUCGGGUUGUAAAGCUCUGUCUUUUGGGACGAUAAUGACGGUACCAAAGGAGGAAGCCACGGCUAACCUACGUGCCAGCAGCCGCGGUAAUACGUAGGUGGCAAGCGUUGUCCGGAUUUACUGGGCGUAAAGGAUGCGUAGGCGGAUUUUUAAGUGAGAUGUGAAAUACCCGGGCUUAACUUGGGUGCUGCAUUUCAAACUGGGAAUCUAGAGUGCGGGAGAGGAGAAUGGAAUUCCUAGUGUAGCGGUGAAAUGCGUAGAGAUUAGGAAGAACACCAGUGGCGAAGGCGAUUCUCUGGACCGUAACUGACGCUGAGGCAUGAAAAGCGUGGGUAGCAAAACAGGAUUAGAUACCCUGGUAGUCCACG